CACGUAGGCGGUGAAUCGGGUUGAAAGUGAAAGUCGCCAAAAAAGUGGCGGAAUGCUCUCGAAACCAAUUCACUUGAGUGAGACAGAGGAGAGUGGAAUUUCGUGUGUAGGGGUGAAAUCCGUAGAUCUACGAAGGAACGCCAAAAGCGAAGGCAGCUCUCUGGGUCCCUACCGAUGCUGGGGUGCGAAAGCAUGGGGAGCGAACA
rnacentral:rRNA from 1 species